UUCAAAAUUUCAUUCAAUUCGGAUCACUGGUGUCUGAGAUAUGACAGCUCAAAAAUGAGUUGUCUAAAAAUAGUGUUUUACCCGAACGGUUCUAACUUUGCGAAAUAUUAAUCAAUCGAGCCCAAAUUUGUACCAAUGAUGCACAUAUAAUAGGUUGACAAACAGUCAAAAUUUGAGAUUUUUUGAUGCGCUCUAUGAAAAGUUAUAGCAUGUUGAACUUUUUUGUGAGAGAAAAAAAGUUGCCUAUCCCAAACAUUUUGGCCAUCCCCUGUAUAUGUAUAUGAAAGUCGAUUUUGAAAACAUUUCACCGUAUUUUUAAUGAAAAAUUGAAAAAAAAAACAAAAAUGAGGAAUUGCAUCCAGAUUCGCCUUUUAAGAAACUUGGAGAACUUUUUCUUGAAUUUUCAAUUGAAAAUUUUCAAUUUCUGAAUAUGAUUCCUUCAACUUACUUGAGUUAUACAUUUGUAUUUAUAAUUCAUAAUUUAACUUUUCUUGAGAUCUUCCAGUUUUUCAACCUUUUUAUUUAUAUCGCCCCAAAAAAUGCUUACUCGACAGAUGUUCGUUCUAUUCCGUGAUCAUUGGAACAUCCCAAUGAUUGCCACUAAAAUCCUCCUUGGAGCCACCAUUGAAAUUGCUCUGAAUUCCCCACAGAGUGCUAUCAAAGUUCUCCUCUAGCUCCUUUCUUGGACAGGCAGGGGAAAUGUAAUAAAAUUGUAAUUUUGUUAUUUGCCCAUUUCUUUGUCCUUAGUAAGAAAUGUUUAUCGACGACAUCACUUUUUUUCACAACAUGAUUGUUAAUGUAAGCGGACAAAAAUUCACACCGGAAGUGGUAGAAGUUUAAAAAUAUCAUGAAAUUCGUGGAACUUCGCUAGAUUCUUCAUAUGUUUUUCAAAAGAAAUUCUACCGAAAACUCGAACUGCUUUUAGUAAAAGUUUUACAAAUUUUGAAAUUUUUAUUUUAUAUGCCUUGGUACCACCUUCCAUAUUGACGUAGUUCACGUCAAGAGGAUGCUAUGACUCAAUGCAAUAAUUAGUGGAACAUCGUGUUACAGUACCAAGUUUUCUGCUGGACUUGAGUGUCUUCAACAAAAUUAUCGACCUCUUGGCAGCACAGUGUGAGGUAUUUCGUACUGAGUACUGCACAACAGUUACCUGGCCGAUCCCAUUCAGGUCGUUGCUGAAGUGAGGCAAGAAUGUGUAUAUACUAUCAAAGCUUACUACCUCACCACACUACCUCAGCGUAGCAGAGGACGUAAAUGAUUCUUGCCUCAUGCUGAGGAAAUUUUAAGGAUGACGUUCAGCAGCUCAAACCCAACAAACUAGCUGAUAAGCAUGGUAUCGCAAUUAAACUCAUCAAGAUGGGCCCAGACCAGUCUGUACCGGUUUCGAGUCAGCAUCUAAAGAACCGAAUAGCUACAGAGAGUGGAAAGAAAUGCUAAUCUGCCCAAUUCACAAGAUUAGCGAUCAUUGUGUUUGCCGCCUACGUCGCCUGUCACUUCACUUGGAAAGAUAGAGUUUGGGGGAAGUUUUUGAGUUGGCUUCAUCGACGGCCGAGAUCUUUAUAAAUCAACAAAUUCUUCAGAAUUACCGUGAAUACUAUGUUCCAACGCAUUACCUGUUCAUCGACUUCGAAGCGGCAUACGACAGUAUCGACCGCACAGAGCUAUGGCAAAUCAUGGAGGAGAAGGGCUUUCUUGGGAAGCUGACCAGACUGAUCAAAGCAACGAUGGACGGUGUGCAAAACUGCGUAGGGGUGAAAAUCCGAGUAAGCUAUCCAGUUCAUUUGGAUCUCUCCUUGCAUUGUCUACUCUUCAACAUCGGCCUGGAAGGUGUAAUACAACGAGCCGGGCUCAACACAAUCGGGAUACGAAUUUGACGGAAUCCAGUCAAUUAGUGUGCUUUGUUGACGAUGGAUAUGAUCGCCUGCGAAAUUGCAACGGUACAGCUCUGUACACCUGAAACAUGAUGUAGUAAAGAUAUGACUGGUCAUGAACGCGUCUGAAACAAAGUACUUGUUGGUGGACGAAGAAACUGUGGUCAAAAAAAAUUUAACUCCGCAACCCAAUAUACUAUGUAAAGAGAACGCUUAUGAGACCGGUUGUUUCUAUGAACACGUUAUAUGGACCACCCUUCAGGGUUUACUAGUGACUCGUACUAAGAACGAUCUUCAACGUAGCAUAGGAGAACACUUCUGCCUAGACUGUAUAUUCUCAAUGGCCCGGUUUUGAAUAUAUAGGAAUAGCUGAGCAGCCAACAAAAGGCGGUCUAAACAAUUGAGCACUGAAAGCAGAACUUACAGGGCUUGACCUCUCAUCAAAAACGAAUCAGAAAUAUAAUCAGCCUCGUAAUGGGGGUGCAUAUACGCACUGUCGCAUUUAAUUUCCGAUCAUUGGAAAUGAUUCCGGAAAUGUCACACAUUUCAAAGAUGUAUGUCACAUUCAAGCGUCUACUAACAGAGUAGAUUUCUGCGAAUUAAAAAUGUCCUUCCAAACCUUCUGUCCACACCGAAAGUAGCUUCAAGCACCCCAUCGAUGACCCCACCUUCCCUCAAGUCCCUCACACUUUAUUACACCCCACUCCUGACAAACUGCCAGGGCAGUUUGCAUGACUUUAUGAUUACGACCUUAUCACCCACCCGGGAAUUUUUGACGAGGGUUCGAGACGAUGAAGAGUCACAUUCAAGCGCUCGUCUUCUUUCAAUCCGCCAAAGUCCCCCAUUUACUGAUCGUCGUCAUCGUCGUCGUCAAAUGGGAAAAAUCUCUUCCAAGUGCGCGCUCCGAAUGGUUUUCUCUUUCCAUUUGGUCCGCUGGCGCUGGUUGGUUGAAAGCUAUAGGUACCUAAUACAAACAACUUCCUUCACAGCUUCCGCCGACACACAUCGUGUCGUUCCUCAGCAGGGGGGCAAGCUACUCUCUGGCAACGCCAACCAACGACCAUCGUAAAGCAAAAGGGCAUCACCGGCACCGCACACUCGUCCCAUCAGUCAGGCAGGCAGUCAGUCAGUCAGUCCGUCAGCCCUAAACGGUUGGAAUUAUGAAAUGAUAUAAAGCUUUUUCCGGUACGACUGCUACUGGUGACUGCGAAGCGGAUGGUCGAGGUCGAAGGAUGGGUGGAUUUAUUUUUACGACCCAUGUGUAUACCGGUUAUAUGAGCUGCGAAUGACGGGCGCUCAUUCGCAGCUACGGAAGCUGACCUUUUUCCUCGAACGCUGGCUGGAAUGCGAACGUUGCGUUGGUUGCUUCUCGGCGUAAGGGAUGAUCCUCGAUGCCGUCGUCGUAGGAAUGCAAAACGUGGAAUUUCUAUUGUUUUAUUCCCGGAGGUUUUCUUCUUUGGUUGAAGGAAUUGCGUGUUGGAAUUGCUAUCACUGUAGCUGACAAAUUGUAUUGUUUAUUAUAACAAAUUAGGGGAUUUUUUUAUUAUCGUACAAAUUGGUACCAAGGUUCUCAGAGUUCAAUGAUUUUUUUCCACAGGUUGGGUUCAUAUAUAUACACUCCCGUUCAAAAGUUUGGGGUCACCCCCUCAAAAACAUGUCAUUUUUUAGGCCCAUAUCUCCGCCAAUUUGCGUCCGAUUUCAAAACCCUAGGUUUCAUUCAAAAGAUAAUAAGUCAAAGAAACUUU